rnacentral:lncRNA from 1 species
GACGCACAAUGAAUAUUUAGCAUAAUUCUUAACAAAUUGAUGAUUUCUAGUGAGUCUGUUUGGAUCUUAAUUUUCUAAGUGUUAGAUUGCGCUUAAGAAGUGUGUCUAUCAAUGUCAUGCUGAUCAUCAUUUGAAAGAUGACUUUGUCUAUCAUCUUCUUCUUCUUCUUCUUCUUCUUCUUUUUUUUUUUCUUUUUUUUUUUUUUUUUUUUCAUGAUUUUUGGUUAACUCACGGCUUUCCCUCUUCAUGUCAAUGAACAGUGAAUGUGGACGAUGCAGUCGAUGAUAUUGUCCGGCAGUUCAAGGGGGUUUCAAAUGGAUUAAUGCGUAAAGUUGUAGGUCCUACACCUUCCACUUCUGAAGCAUCGGCAUCGAUUUCACCUUCCACUUCUGAAGCAUCGGCAUCGAUUUCAUCCAGGCAACUGUCCUGGAAUGCAGAUGAAAUAGAUAGAUAUGUUUCCAAGCAAAGCACUGCGGAAACAUCCAGUAUCUCUGAUAAUGAGGAUGUCGAUAGAGAUGGAAAUCGUGGC